ensembl:snRNA U6 U6 spliceosomal RNA
GUGCAUAUUUUGAUAGCAUAUAUAUUAAAAUUAGAAAAAUAUAGAUAUUAGCAUGGUCCUAUCCAAGGAUAACAUGCAAAUUUGUGAAGCAAUUUUUUUUUUU